rnacentral:rRNA from 1 species
UAGUCCACGCCGUAAACGAUGUCAACUAGCCGUUGGGCGCUUUAAGUGCUUGGUGGCGCAGCUAACGCGAUAAGUUGACCGCCUGGGGGGUACGCCGGCAACGGUAAAACUCAAAGGAAUUGACGGGGGUCCGCGCAAGCAGUGGAGCAUGUGGUUUAAUUCGAAGCAACGCGCAGAACCUUACCACCACUUGACAUCACCAUCGCGAUUUCCGGAGACGGAUUUCUUCAGUUCGGCUGGAUGGAUGACGGGUGCUGCAUGGCUGUCGUCAGCUCGUGUCGUGAGAUGUUGGGUUAAGUCCCGCAACGAGCGCAACCCUCGCCUUUAGUUGCCAGCAUUUAGUUGGGCACUCUAGAGGAACCGCCGGUGAUAAGCCGGAGGAAGGUGGGGAUGACGUCAAGUCCUCAUGGCCCUUACGUGGUGGGCUACACACGUGCUACAAUGGCGCUAACAAUGGGUUAAUCCCCAAAAGGCGUCUCAGUUCGGAUUGUCUUCUGCAACUCGAAGGCA